rnacentral:rRNA from 1 species
GCACUUCGGGAUAAGCUUGGGAAACUGGGUCUAAUACCGGAUAGGACCAUGGCCUGCAUGGGUUGUGGUGGAAAGCUUUUGCGGUGUGGGAUGGGCCCGCGGCCUAUCAGCUUGUUGGUGGGGUGAUGGCCUACCAAGGCGACGACGGGUAGCCGGCCUGAGAGGGUGACCGGCCACACUGGGACUGAGAUACGGCCCAGACUCCUACGGGAGGCAGCAGUGGGGAAUAUUGCACAAUGGGCGCAAGCCUGAUGCAGCGACGCCGCGUGGGGGAUGACGGCCUUCGGGUUGUAAACCUCUUUCAGCUCCGACGAAGCGUAAGUGACGGUAGGAGUAGAAGAAGGACCGGCCAACUACGUGCCAGCAGCCGCGGUAAUACGUAGGGUCCGAGCGUUGUCCGGAAUUACUGGGCGUAAAGAGCUCGUAGGUGGUUUGUCGCGUUGUUCGUGAAAACUCACAGCUCAACUGUGGGCGUGCGGGCGAUACGGGCAGACUAGAGAACUGCAGGGGAGACUGGAAUUCCUGGUGUAGCGGUGGAAUGCGCAGAUAUCAGGAGGAACACCGGUGGCGAAGGCGGGUCUCUGGGCAGUAACUGACGCUGAGGAGCGAAAGCGUGGGGAGCGAACAGGAUUAGAUACCCUGGUAGUCCACGCCGUAAACGGUGGGUACUAGGUGUGGGUUUCCUU